CACGCCGUAAACGAUGAAUGCUGGUUGUUGGUCUUUAAAGAUCAGUGACGACGUAAACACGAUAAGCAUUCCGCCUGGGGAGUACGAUCGCAAGAUUGAAACUCAAAGGAAUUGACGGGG
rnacentral:rRNA from 1 species